ACCUCGGGGGGCAGCAGUGAGGAAUAUUGGUCAAUGGGCGGGAGCCUGAACCAGCCAAGUCGCGUGAAGGAUGACGGCCCUACGGGUUGUAAACUUCUUUUGUCAGGGAGCAAUUGAGUCCACGUGUGGUCUUAGCGAGAGUACCUGAAGAAAAAGCAUCGGCUAACUCCGUGCCAGCAGCCGCGGUAAUGCGGAGGAUGCGAGCGUUAUCCGGAUUUAUUGGGUUUAAAGGGUGCGUAGGCGGAAUAUCAAGUCAGCGGUAAAAAUUCGGGGCUCAACCCCGUCGUGCCGUUGAACCUGAUGUU
rnacentral:rRNA from 1 species